CCCCUGUCUAUGACACAAAUGUGUAUAAGGUGUCAUUUCCUCAUAUUACAAUUAAUCCUCAUAUAUUAAAUUAAUAUUUAAAAUUAUUAUGUAAUAUGAUAUACCGGUAUAUAUCUUACAAGUGUUUGAGUUUAUCUAGGUACUUCAUAUUUACGUCAUGUGCACUUGUACACAUCACAAGUAGGAGUGUAUUACUCCCACCAGCUUUUAAUCGAUGCAUUGAAACAAAACAUGUGACGGUGUGAUAAGUUUCAUUAAAUCAUAUUAUUAAACUCUUUAUGCAAUAUUGUAACGUUAAUAUCAAGAUGGUGCCCAACGAAGACAUUUUAAUCAAACUAAACACGCCCGAAAUUAUUGAACUAAAAGACUUCUACAACGUACACAAAGACCAGUUUCCACAAGUCUACAGUUUUCUAAAGACAACUUUAAAAUGGCACAAAACGCAUCCUGAAUAUAUCACUGUGUUUUCGGUUCAAGGUGACUGGAGAAAUGACGGCACAUUUAUAGCACUAUUAACUUUUUCAUGCUAUGAUAUAUUCAUGCAUUCUCUACAAGAUUCUUAUGAAAAACUACGCAUAGGACUAACACAAACAAAACAAAUUAAUUGGUACGAUUAUGAAAUUAUCUUCUAUGCAAUGUAUGAAAAAUUGAAACCAAUUAUUCUACAAGCAUUGAGCGAUAUAAAUGUGCCCAUAAAGUUAUCUGAUGAAACUUAUUUGUGGCAACUUCCGCAAAAUGCAGCCCUUCAACUAUCUGAUACAUUUGAUCACAACGAUUACUAUAUGGAUGCAGUUAAGGCAGAAGAUGCUGAGGCAAUCAAUGCCAUAUGGCCGCCUCGGUUUAAUACUUCUUUGGAAUACAUACGCACAUUUAUUACUAUGAAUGGUGGAUUUGGUAUUUACGAAAAGAGUACGCAUGAAUUGGUCUCAUGGGUAUUGAUCAACGUAUUGGGACAAUUGGGAGUACUGCAGACGAGAGAGGGUUACUUUAAGAACGGUUUUGGGGCGGCAUUAACGCGGAAAGCCGCAAGAAUUAUAGGAAAAAAUGGUGACCAUCCGAUCGGUACAAUUGGAAGCAUGAAUUUAGCAUCACAGGGUCUUUUUACUAAAUUGGGCUUUGAACAAAAGUAUUCGUGUAUUUAUAUUCGCUGUCAUAAAAAAUCAAUAAGUUAAAUUUGUAGGUUUUAUUACUUAUAAAGAUACUAGCUGACCUGGCGAACUUCGUACCGCCUUAUUUAUUUUUUAUUACACAAAAAAAUAAUAUUGUACAAAAGGCGUACUUAAUGCCGUAAGGCAUUCUCUGCCAGUCACAUCGCUAGCGACCCGCCACGGCUUCGCACGGAAGUAAAAAACCGCAUCAAAUUCCGUUGCGUAGUUUCAAUGAUUUAAGCAUACAAAGGGACAGACAGAGAAAGCGACUUUCCUUUUUCAAACAAAAACCUGUGUGUCAAAAACUUUAAUAACCUUACUACCUAACUACCUACCAUUGUAUUUCAAUAACCUUAUUGUUGGCGCGGCGGGUAUGUCACAAAUUACCACAGAUUACUAUGUAAGUCAUGUGAAGUUUAUAUAUGCGUUCUGAAAUCUCACACAUAGAUGGCGCGACAACGGGAAACGGGUUUUAUUUUUUUUUCAAUCUUUCCGAGAUAUUUUCCUAAUAUUUUUUUCCGUAAGAACCUUCUAUAGAGUAUUUGAAAACUGCAAAAAAAAAAUCAGCCAAAUCGGUCUAGCCGUUUUCAUGUGAUGGCUUGACCACGCGAAACGCGUUUCAUUUUUAUAUAUAUAGAUUCAAUUAAAAUGUAUGAUAAGUUAUUGACUUACUAACGAUAUCCCAUACAGCACAACUUACUUUAAUUAUAUGAGAAAUUACAGAUAGUGAAUUUUUGAUUAACUUAAUUGUCUUAAGAUACAGAUUUAAUAUAAAAAGUAUAUUUAUUUAUUAUAACAUUUUUAUUAUAAAAUUCUAACGGUUUAAUUUUUUUAUUCUGUACUUAUAAUUUUAAUUUGAAGUGUUUUAUAAAUGCCUGCUAUCUUGUAAAAAUUGAAGUCAAUUACGUUAAUCCUUAAAAACGGUAAAUGUUUUGUUAUUUUUCACUUUUGAACGCGGAUUUAUGCUCAAAAAUCAACGUGUUGUUGAAAAACAUUGUUAUAUACUGCAAAUUACUGAUAUACGCUUGGUUUAGUUACAUUAGAAAUUAAAAAUAGUAUAUUUUACAA